CGCGUAGGCGGCCGGCCAAGUCGGGUGUGAAAUCCCUCGGCUCAACCGAGGAACUGCACUCGAUACUGGUUGGCUCGAGUCCGGGAGGGGAUGGUGGAAUUCCCAGUGUAGCGGUGAAAUGCGUAGAUAUUGGGAAGAACACCGGUGGCGAAGGCGGCCAUCUGGACCGGAACUGACGCUGAGGCGCGAAAGCCAGGGGAGCGAAUGGGAUUAGAUACCCCGGUAGUCCUGGCUGUAAACGAUGGGCACUUGGUGUGGCGGGUACUGACCCCCGCCGUGCCGAAGCUAACGCGUUAAGUGCCCCGCCUGGGGAGUACGGUCGCAAGGCUGAA
rnacentral:rRNA from 1 species